rnacentral:rRNA from 1 species
CUACGGGGGGCAGCAGUGGGGAAUAUUGGACAAUGGGGGAAACCCUGAUCCAGCAAUGCCGCGUGUGUGAAGAAGGCCUGCGGGUUGUAAAGCACUUUCGGUUGGGAGGACUGCUUCUAGCACUAAUAUUGUUGGAAGUUGACGUUACCUUCAGAAGAAGCACCGGCUAACUCCGUGCCAGCAGCCGCGGUAAACGGAGGGUGCAAGCGUUAAUCGGAAUUACUGGGCGUAAAGCGCGCGUAGGCGGCUAGAUCAGUCGGGUGUGAAAGCCCCGGGCUGAACCUGGGAACUGCAUCCGAUACUGUCUAGCUUGAGUACAGGAGAGGAGAGUGGAAUUCCACAUGUAGCGGUGAAAUGCGUAGAUAUGUGGAGGAACACCAAUGGCGAAGGCAGCUCUCUGGCCUGAUACUGACGCUGAGGUGCGAAAGCGUGGGGAGCAAACAGGAUUAGAUACCCCGGUAGUC